rnacentral:rRNA from 1 species
AAGGGAGAGGAUAAGGUAGAAAUCUACCCUCGGGACGGGGAUAGCUGCGGGAAACUGCUGGUAAUACCCGAUAAUAUCUUUGGAUCAAAGGUGUGAUUCCGCCUGGGGAUGAGUCUACUCCCUAUUAGCUAGUUGGCAGGGUAAUGGCCUACCAAGGCAACGAUGGGUAGCGGGUGUGAGAGCAUGACCCGCCUCACUGGGACUGAGAACUGCCCAGACACCUACGGGUGGCUGCAGUCGAGAAUCUUCGGCAAUGGGCGCAAGCCUGACCGAGCGACGCCGCGUGCGGGAUGAAGGCCUUCGGGUUGUAAACCGCUGUCGUAGGGGAACAAAUGUAAGUGGGUUCUCCCAUUUACUUGAGUGAUCCUAGGAGGAAGGGGAGGCUAAGCUCGUGCCAGCAGCCGCGGUAAGACGAGCUCCCCGAACGUUAUUCGGUAUUACUGGGCUUAAAGAGUUCGUAGGCGGCCCGACAGGUGAGGUGUGAAAUCCCUCGGCUCAACCGAGGAACUGCGCUUCAAACCGUCAGGCUUGAGGGAGAUAGAGGUGAGCGGAACAGAUGGU